UUGAUUAAUUUUAAUUUGAAGAGUUAAUUUUAAUUACUAUGUUUUUUCAUGCUAGUAAGGCUAUUUUGAGGGUUAAAAGCAUUAUAGUGAACUAACUCACACGAUCGUCAUUUUUAGAAAAAUGGAAUCGAAGUGUUUAAGUGUGCCUUCAACUUAUUAAACAUUGGUGUCAUAUAUCGUAAUUUUGUUAAUAGUCAAUUGUAGGCUUUCAUAGACGAAUGUUUAUUAGUUUAAUUUCUUUAUGUCCCCGGAUCGAUAGAUCGGGGGUAUAUUGUUUUUGGCCUGUCUGUCUGUCAUUCUGUCCCAAAACUAACCUUACAGUAAAGUUUUGCAAUAACUUUUGAAAUAUUGAACAUAGCAACUUGAUAUUUGGCAUGCAUGUGUAUCUCAUGUAGCUGCACAUUUUGAGUGGUGAAAGGGCAAGGUCAUCCUUCAAGGUCAAAGGUCAAAAACAAAAGCGGUGCAUUAGGGGGCAUUGUGUUUCUGACAAACACAUCUCUUGUUUUUUUAAUAAAAACAUAAAUUCCUGGGAUAGUUCUUUAUGACAUUCUUUUAUUUCUAAUUCGUAGAUAAAUAUGUCAUAGUCAACCAACCCACAUUGCAAAUGUUUCUCAAUACAAAGGGUUAUUAGCGUAGUCGUCGUGCAAAAACUUUGAUGUGAGUCAUUACUUCUUUGUUAUUUGCAUAUGUUCAACAAAUUCACAAAUAUUUUUCUUCUUGCAACAAUGCCUAUCCAGAGCUGAAUUUUUUACCUUGACCUCUGAUUUCAACCUUGACUCCUUUGACUCUGAUUAACAGACAAGCAUUGGUUCCCGCGGGAGCUGUUGUAUAUAAACUAUAAUUCUAUGCUGUAUAAAUUUAUUUCCAAACUUAUCACAAUUUUAACAAGAAAGCAUUACAUGCAUAAUAUUUGACAUAGUGAUAUAUUGUCAUAAUGCCCUCACAGUAUGAUUACGUGUAAAAUUAUGACUAAGGGUAUUAAAUGAUGGAACAUUGAUUGAGGCUAAUUAAUUAAAAAUUACUUUCAUGUAGAAUUGCACAAUCUAGUAGUGUACUAAAACAGAUUGCAUAAAUAUAAUUUCCCUAAAUAUUUUACAGAAAAGUAUACUCAAAAUUAUUGAAUUUUUGGGUGCCUUUGACAUACAAUGAAACUAAAGGAAUUUUCCUACCUUCAUUUUGGGGCUGAAAUAUGGCUCAAAUGCAGUAUACCUAUUUUUCUAUAUCUAUUCAAUGAAAUCCUAAUUUACAAUUUCAAAAUUUUAACACCUAGAUUCUUAAAAAUUAAUCAUAAUUUUCCAAUUUUGAAUUCUGUAAGAAAUCAAUAACUCAUUUUUGUGAAAAUGUGGUUUACUUCACUAUUGCUUUUCACCAGCCAUUUGUUUGACAAUUUUUGUAUUUUAUUUCAUUUUUAUGCUCCCCCCAAAUUUUUUUGGGGGGAUCAUAUAGUCGCCGCUUCGUCUGUCCGUGCGUCCGUGCACAAUUUUUGUCCGGGCUAUUUCUCAGCAACUAAUAACGGAUUUCAAUAAAACUUUAUGGGAAGCUUCACUACCAAGAGGAGAUGUGCACAUUAUCAGUGGGUUCUGGUCGGAUGAUUUUUCACAGAGUUAUGGCCCUUUGAAAUUUUCCAUUAACUGUACAUAUAGUGCAAUUCUUGUCCGGGCUAUUUCUCAGCAACUGAUGACCGGAAUUCAAUGAAACUUUAUGGGAAGCUUCACUACCAAGAGGAGAUGUGCAUAUUUUCAGCGGGUUCUGGUCGGAUGAUUUUUCACAGAGUUAUGGCCCUUUGAAAUUUUCUAUAAACUGUACAUAUAGUGCAAUUCUUGUCCUGGCUAUUUCUCCCCAACUACUGACUGGAAUACAAUGAAGCUUUAUGGGAAGCUUAACUACCUUGAGGAGAUGCGCAUGUUAUUUGUGGGUUCUGGUUAGAUGAUUUGUUUAGAGAGUUAUGGCCCUUUGAAAUUUUUAAGUUGCUAAACCAUCCAUCGUAUUAUUUUGUCUAAAGUUAUGCCCCUCAAGAUGUUUCCUUUUAUCUGAAUAUAUAGUGCAAUAUUGUGACAAAAAAAAACUUUGGGGAGCAUCACCAGUCCCCGAAGGUUUCUUGUUAAAUGUGUUUGUCAAAAUUGUUCAUUCCCGUAGGUUUAAACUUCAACCUUAUGUGUUUUUAUAACAGAAAUGGGGAAAAAGACAAGCAGGUGAAAGAUGGGGGGGGGGGGGGGUGGCAUUAAUUUAAUGUCCUGUGGACUUAUUCCUAGUUUUGUUUAAUCUAGUCAAUUCCCUAAGAGUACAAGGAGUACAUUGUUACUAUGAUAAUUUAUUUUAAAUUUCUAUAAUUUGUUAAUAAAUUAUGUUUCAACUCAA